AGGCUAAGUGUAAUUCCUCGUCUACCUACGUUCAUCCGUAGGUGAGUACUAUUACUUGAAUACUUGCCCCCUCCUUUUGCUCGCCUUUCUGCGACUGAGGCUAAGUGUAAUUCCUCGUCUACCUACGUUCAUCCGUAGGUGAGGACUAUUACUUGAAUACUUGCCCCCUCCUUUUGCUCGCCUUUCUGCGAUUGAGGCUAAGUGUAAUUCCUCGUCUACCUACGUUCAUCCGUAGGUGAGGACUAUUACUUGAAUACUUGCCCCCUCCUUUUGCUCGCCUUUCUGCGACAGGGGCUGAUUGUGUUUCCUCGUCUACCUGCGUUCAUCCGUGGGUGAGGAAUGUUCUUGAGCACGUCCCUCGUCUAAUCCUACGUUCUUCCGUAGGUGGGGUUUACUCUUGAGUACUUGCCCGUCUGUCUACAUUUUUGUAGAAUGGGGUGUGUGUUUAGCCGACGUGUCCCCCGUCUAACCUACGUUCUUCCGUAGGUGGGGUUCA
rnacentral:lncRNA from 1 species